UGGGCAUAUGCAUCCAUUGUGAAUGACAGAGAAAUCAUAAUACUUUUAAUUCAACUUGAAUUUUAUGUACAAAUUUACAUAUUUUGUGCCAUUUGUUUAUUCUUUGCGUCUUGUAUAUCCUAUGCUAAAAUAAAACCGAUCAUAUAUAACCACCCUUAGCUGUAUUUGGCGAUGGUUGACAGCGCAAAAGGCUGUGGUGCUGAGCUUAUAGCAGAUAAUAAACGUUGCGGUUCAAGUGCGGCAGUCUGGUUUAAUUAUCAUUUGAUUGCAAAUAAAGCGUACAACAAUGAAUGAUGAAUUUUCAACUACCGGGCAAUUAUAUGGCCGGGUGACAGCCAUUAAAGGGCAUAUGUACGAGGUGAAAUGCAGAAGAUUGAUAAUGUGAAAUGUCAAAACAACUAUUAUCAUUUCAAUAUACAAAUAUAUAUUUGGAAACCAAUUUCGGCAAAGAUAAAUAUUUAAUUAAAUAAUAGUAAAAAAUUACCCAAAAAUAAAAUUGAGUGCUAAAGAUAAACAAAUUGUGUGUCAUUAGAGUAAAAAGAAAUCAAAACAGAUAAAAAGUUUAGCUAGACAAAAAUGUUUAUACCCCCCCAACAUGUAUUGCGUAUUGUCAAGAUCUGUGUAUUCUCCAUGUAAAAUUGCAUUUCAUAGAAAGAAAGUAAGAUGGCAUAAUUAGAUACCGUAAAGGAAGUUCACAUUCGGGAGUCCGUCAUAACAGACCAGGUUUAAAAUUGCGAUUUCUGCAGAAACUGUCUGGAUAUUAAAGAAGAGCAAUCCAAAGAUGCGAUAUCCUCCAGGUUCGGUAUUGAAAUCAAGAAUUCCAUAUCGAUCAACUAAGUUAGUAGGGGAGUCAUUAGUUGCCAAUACCUACAGCAAAAUGCUUGGCAUUUAAUGAUGAGACAUUUGAAGUGGUUUAUUUUAGUACUGGAUAGACAAGCCGUGGAGGGCAAAAAUAAAACGCAUAAAAACA